UACGUAGGGUGCAAGCGUUAAUCGGAAUUACUGGGCGUAAAGCGUGCGCAGGCGGUUCGGAAAGAAAGAUGUGAAAUCCCAGAGCUUAACUUUGGAACUGCAUUUUUAACUACCGAGCUAGAGUGUGUCAGAGGGAGGUGGAAUUCCGCGUGUAGCAGUGAAAUGCGUAGAUAUGCGGAGGAACACCGAUGGCGAAGGCAGCCUCCUGGGAUAACACUGACGCUCAUGCA
rnacentral:rRNA from 1 species